GCUUAACCUUCGGGAGGGCGCUUACCACUUUGUGAUUCAUGACUGGGGUGAAGUCGUAACAAGGUAACCGUAGGGGAACCUGCGGUUGGAUCACCUCCUUACCUUAAAGAACCUGCCUUUGUAGUGCUCACACAGAUUGUCUGAUGAA
rnacentral:rRNA from 1 species